CAAUAGCGUAUAUUAAAGUUGUUGCAGUUAAAAAGCUCGUAGUUGAACUUCAGGCUUGGCGGGGUGGUCUGCCUCACGGUAUGUACUACCCGGCCGAGCCUUACCUCCUGGUGAGCCUGCAUGCCGUUUAUUCGGUGUGUAGGGGAACCAGGAAUUUUACUUUGAAAAAAUUAGAGUGUUCAAAGCAGGCAUAUGCCCGAAUACAUUAGCAUGGAAUAACACGAUAGGACUCUGGCUUAUCUUGUUGGUCUGUGAGACCAGAGUAAUGAUUAAGAGGGACAGUCGGGGGCAUUCGUAUUUCAUUGUCAGAGGUGAAAUUCUUGGAUUUAUGAAAGACGAACUUCUGCGAAAGCAUUUGUCAAGGAUGUUUUCAUUAA
rnacentral:rRNA from 1 species